CCUACGGGUGGCAGCAGUGAGGAAUAUUGGUCAAUGGACGAGAGUCUGAACCAGCCAAGUAGCGUGAGGGAUGAAUGUUCUAUGGAUCGUAACCCUCUUUUAUAAGGGAAUAAAGUGCGGGACGUGUCCCGUUUUGUAUGUACCUUAUGAAUAAGGAUCGGCUAACUCCGUGCCAGCAGCCGCGGUAAUCCGUAGGAUCCGAGCGUUAUCCGGAUUUAUUGUGUUUAAAGGGUCCGUAGGCGGCCUUUUAAGUCAGCGGUGAAAGUCUGUGGCUCAACCAUAGAAUUGCCGUUGAAACUGGUAGGCUUGAGUAUGUUUGAGGAAGGCGGAAUGCGUGGUGUAGCGGUGAAAUGCUUAGAUAUCACGCAGAACCCCGAUUGCGAAGGCAGCCUGCCAAGCCAUGACUGACGCUGAUGCACGAAAGCGUGGGGAUCAAACAGGAUUAGAUACCCUAGUAGUC
rnacentral:rRNA from 1 species